GAAUCGCUAGUAAUCGUGGAUCAGAAUGCCACGGUGAAUACGUUCCCGGGCCUUGUACACACCGCCCGUCACACCAUGGGAGUGGGUUGCAAAAGAAGUAGGUAGCUUAACCUUCGGGAGGGCGCUUACCACUUUGUGAUUCAUGACUGGGGUGAAGUCGUAACAAGGUAACCGUAGGGGAACCUGCGGUUGGAUCACCUCCUUA
rnacentral:rRNA from 3 species